GGCUGGUCCAAAGGUAGUGAGUUAUCUCAAUUGAUUGUUGACAGUCAGUUACAGAUCAAACUUCUCAUUCUACUCUUUCCCCCUUCUCACUACUGUACUUGACUAGUCAAAA
ensembl:misc_RNA Y_RNA Y RNA